AUCCUUUUUUAGUUCAUAAGCAUGGUGAUUGGGUUUUCACACUAUUGUGUAAGAUGUGCCUCCCUCUAAAUCUUGUUAUGACUUGGCACAUUAUCCAUCUGGCA